ACGGGCGGUGUGUGCAAGGAGCAGGGACAGAUUCGCCGAGCGAUGCUAACACUCGACUACUAGGGAUUCCGGUGUCAUGAGGAUGAGUUGCAAUCCUCAAUCAAUACUACGACAAGGUUUAGGGGAUUUGCUUUUCCUUUCGGAGUUGCAUCCCAUUGUCCUUGCCAUUGGGGCCCGCGUGUAGCCCAGGAGAUUCGGGCCAUACUGACCUAACGUAGCCCAUACUUUCAUCCCAUUUAUCACGGGCAAUCUCUUAUGAGUGCACCCUCCCCGAAGGAAAGGCUGGCAACAUAAGAUAUGGGUCUCGCUCGUUACCUGACUUAACAGGACACCUCACGGCACGAGCUGACGUCGGCCAUGCAACACCUCUCAGCGCGUCAGGUAAGCCCUUCAGACUGACCAUCAUUCUGCUGUCGCUCCUGGUAAGGUUCCCGGCGUGUUAUCCAAUUAAACCGCAGACGUCACCCCUUGUAGUGCUCCCCCGCCAAUUCCUUUAAGUUUCAGCCUUGCGACCGUACUCCCCAGGUGGCUCACUUAACGGUUUCCCUUCGGCACUGGAAAUCCGCGAAAGAUCUCCAAUACCAAGUGAGCAUCGUUUACAGCUAGGACUAACCGGGUAUCUAAUCCGGGUCGCUCCCCUAGCUUUCAUCCCUCACCGUCGGAUCCAUUCCAGUCAGACGCCUUCGCCACAGGUGGUCCCCCUAGGAUUACAGCAUUUUACCGCUACCCUAGGAGUACCUCUGUCCUCUCCUGGUCCCAAGCCGUAAUAGUUUCUACCGCACGCCCUAUAGUUUUCUA
rnacentral:rRNA from 1 species